GGGACUGUAGUUCAGAGGGAGAACGCUUGGCUCGCAUUCAAGAGGUCGUGGGUUCGAAUCCCAUCAGUUCCACCA
rnacentral:tRNA from 1 species